rnacentral:rRNA from 1 species
ACGACGAGGCACUACGGUGCUGAAGCAACAAAUGCCCUGCUUCCAGGAAAAGCCUCUAAGCAUCAGGUAACACGAAAUCGUACCCCAAACCGACACAGGUGGUCAGGUAGAGAAUACCAAGGCGCUUGAGAGAACUCGGGUGAAGGAACUAGGCAAAAUGGUGCCGUAACUUCGGGAGAAGGCACGCUGACACGUAGGUGAAGUGAUUUACUCAUGGAGCUGAAGUCAGUCGAAGAUACCAGCUGGCUGCAACUGUUUAUUAAAAACACAGCACUGUGCAAACACGAAAGUGGACGUAUACGGUGUGACGCCUGCCCGGUGCCGGAA